rnacentral:snoRNA from 1 species
AUUUGAUGGUGUGAACAUUGUAUUUGUAGCUCCCCCAAAUCUUUCCCAAGCUUCGAAGAAUUCCUCCGUAUGUUUUUGUCUAAAAGUUUGGAUCUUGUUUCUUAACU